rnacentral:rRNA from 1 species
UGGGGAAUUUUGGACAAUGGGCGAAAGCCUGAUCCAGCAAUGCCGCGUGUGUGAAGAAGGCCUUCGGGUUGUAAAGCACUUUUGUCCGGAAAGAAAUCCUCUGGGUUAAUACCUCGGGGGGAUGACGGUACCGGAAGAAUAAGCACCGGCUAACUACGUGCCAGCAGCCGCGGUAAUACGUAGGGUGCAAGCGUUAAUCGGAAUUACUGGGCGUAAAGCGUGCGCAGGCGGUUUUGUAAGACGGAUGUGAAAUCCCCGGGCUUAACCUGGGAACUGCAUUCGUGACUGCAAGGCUAGAGUAUGGCAGAGGGGGGUAGAAUUCCACGUGUAGCAGUGAAAUGCGUAGAGAUGUGGAGGAAUACCGAUGGCGAAGGCAGCCCCCUGGGCCAAUACUGACGCUCAUGCACGAAAGCGUGGGGAGCAAACAGGAUUAGAUACCCUGGUAGUCCACGCCCUAAAACGAUGUCAACAAGUUGUUGGGGAUUCAUUUCCUUAGUAACGUAGCUAACGCGUGAAGUUGACCGCCUGGGGGAGUACGGUCGCAAGAUUAAAACUCAAAUGAAUUGAC